GUUUAAAUAAAACUUUACAUUUUCAUUGUAAAAAUAAAAAAAAUUUUUUUAUAAAUA
rnacentral:tRNA from 2 species